AAAUGAAUUGACGGGGACCCGCACAAGCGGUGGAGCAUGUGGUUUAAUUCGAAGCAACGCGAAGAACCUUACCAAGGCUUGACAUCCCCCUGACCGCCGUAGAGAUACGGCUUUCCUUCGGGACAGGGGAGACAGGUGGUGCAUGGUUGUCGUCAGCUCGUGUCGUGAGAUGUUGGGUUAAGUCCCGCAACGAGCGCAACCCUUAUCUUCAGUAGCCAUCAUUAAGUUGGGGACUCUGGAGAGACUGCCGUGGAUAACACGGAGGAAGGCGGGGACGACGUCAAAUCAUCAUGCCCCUUAUGUCUUGGGCUACACACGUGCUACAAUGGCUCGAACAGAGUGACGCUAAGCCGCGAGGCGGAGCAAACCACUAAAACGAGUCUCAGUUCGGAUUGCAGGCUGCAACCCGCCUGCAUGAAGCUGGAAUCGCUAGUAAUCGCAAAUCAGCAUGUUGCGGUGAAUACGUUCCCGGGUCUUGUACACACCGCCCGU
rnacentral:rRNA from 1 species